rnacentral:rRNA from 1 species
GUGAUAGCUGGUUCUCCCCGAAAUAGCUUUAGGGCUAGCCUUUAUCAAACAUUUUGGAGGUAGAGCGCUGGAAAGAAUGUCCUUGACGCAAGUCAGGUAUUCUUACCAAACUUCGAAUGCCAAAGUGAAAAAGAUAAAGAGUUAGAACGCGGGGGCUAAGCUCCGCGCUCGAGAGGGAAACAGCCCAGACCUUAAUCUAAGGUCCCUAAAUUCAGCUAAGUGCAAAUUAAGGAAGUGGAGUUCCACAGAUAGCUAGGAGGUUCGCUCAGAAGCAGCUAUCCUUUAAAAAGUGCGUAACAGCUUACUAGCUAAGGGAUUCUGCGCCGCAGAUUCAUCGGGGCUAAGCUGAAUACCGAAGAUAAGGCUUCCGCCGCAAGGCGGAGGGGUAGGGGAGCGUCUUCAUUGCGUUGAAGCCCCGUCGUAAGACGAGGUGGAGCGAUGAGGAGUGAGAGUGCUGGGAUGAGUAACCACAACCAGGGUGAGAGCCCCUGGCACCGAAAACCUGAGGUUUCCUUGGCAAUGAUAAUCAUCCAAGGGUUAGGCGGGCCUUAGGGAGAUAUCAAAUGGUAUCUUCUGAUGGACAGCCGGUUCAUAUUCCGGCCCCCCGCACUUUUCCGAAGAGCGACGCGACUUGGGACUCCGAGCGGAUUAUUGGAUUUCCGUUUCCGCAAGGACGAAGUCAGGACUACGGUUCUGGCGACUCGGACGAACAAGGAGCCCAGAAAAACUCUGAGGUUAUGAAGUGUUGGGUCCGUACCGCAAACCGACACAGGUGGGUUAGUAUAAAUGUACUAAGGUGAACGGGUGAAAGCUCCUGAAGGAACUAGGCAAAAAAGUGUCUGUAAGUUCGCGAUAAGGACUUCCCGCCGUUGAGGCGGGACGCAGCGAAAGUAUCCCUGGCGACUGUUUACCAAAAACACAGGUCUCUGCUCAACUCCAAAAGAGGAUGUAUAGGGGCUGACGCCUGACCAGUGCUGGAGUGUUAAAGGUGGCGGUUUUACCGCAAGGUAAGGCUGACUGCCCGAAGCCCCAGUGAACGUCCGCGGUAACUAUAACCGUGUUAAAGUAGCGUAAUCUCUUGCCUGGUAAGUUCAGGCCCGCACGAAAGGCGUCACGACUUGGGAACUGUCUCCAGGAGCUGCCCGGUGAAAAUGCAAUACCGGUGAAGAUGCCGGUUACCUGCGGCUAGACGGAAAGACCCCGGGAGCUUUACUGUAGCUUCUUAUUGUUUUAUCGUUUUGCAUGCGUAGCAUAGUGGGGAGGCUUUGAAGUCCGCCUUUCGGGGCGGGUGGAGCCAACAGUGAAAUACCCAUCUUGCGAAAUGAUAAAUCUAAUCCGCCUUGGGCGGAGACAGUGGGAGGCGGUCAGUUUUAGUGGGGCGCUAGCCUCCUAAAGAGUAGCGGAGGCGUUUAAAGGUCAGCUAGCUCCGGAUGGAAAUCGGAGCGGUCGUGUAAAGGCACAAGCUGGCUUAACUGCGAGACGGAUAUGUCGAGCAGAUGGGAAACCAGAACUUAGUGAACCGACCCGUUGUAGUAGAAAACGGGAAGAUCAUCAACCAAAAGUUACCCCGGGGAUAACAGGCUGGUAGGGCCCGCGAGUCCAUAUCUACGGCCCUGUUCGGCACCUCGAUGUCGGCUCAUCUUAUCCUGGGGCUGAAGAAGGUCCCAAGGGUCUGGCUGUUCGCCAGUUAAAAAGGUACGUGAGCUGGGUUCAAACCGUCGUGAGACAGGUUGGUCCCUUUCUACCGCAGGCGUCGAGUCUUGAGGAGAUUUAUCUCUAGUACGAGAGGACCGAGAUGAACGAACCUCUGGUGUACCAGUUGUCGUGCCAACGGCAUCGCUGGGUAGCUAUGUUCGGCUAGGAUAAGCGCUGAAAGCAUCUAAGCGCGAAGCCAACUCCAAGAUGAGGACUCAAAGAUCCCUCCGAGAUGAGGAGGUUGAUAGGCUCCAGAUGUAAGUCCCGCAAGGGAUUCAGUCGAGGAGUACUAAUGAUC